GUAGUCACUUUACUAUUCAUAAUU
rnacentral:snRNA from 1 species